UACAGAGGUCCCAAGCGUUGUUCGGAUUCACUGGGCGUAAAGGGUGCGUAGGUGGCGAGGUAAGUCUGAUGUGAAAUCUCCGAGCUUAACUCGGAAAUGGCAUUGGAAACUACUUUGCUUGAGGGUUGGAGGGGGGACUGGAAUACUUGGUGUAGCAGUGAAAUGCGUAGAUAUCAAGUGGAACACCAGUGGCGAAGGCGAGUCCCUGGACAACUCCUGACACUGAGGCACGAAAGCUAGGGGAG
rnacentral:rRNA from 1 species